rnacentral:rRNA from 1 species
AGCGGCGGACGGGUGAGUAAUGCUUGGGAAUAUGCCUUAUGGUGGGGGACAACAGUUGGAAACGACUGCUAAUACCGCAUGAUGUCUACGGACCAAAGUGGGGGACCUUCGGGCCUCACGCCAUAAGAUUAGCCCAAGUGGGAUUAGCUAGUUGGUGAGGUAAUGGCUCACCAAGGCGACGAUCCCUAGCUGGUUUGAGAGGAUGAUCAGCCACACUGGGACUGAGACACGGCCCAGACUCCUACGGGAGGCAGCAGUGGGGAAUAUUGCACAAUGGGCGCAAGCCUGAUGCAGCCAUGCCGCGUGUGUGAAGAAGGCCUUCGGGUUGUAAAGCACUUUCAGUAAGGAGGAAAGGUUAAGUGUUAAUAGCACUUAGCUGUGACGUUGCUUACAGAAGAAGCACCGGCUAACUCCGUGCCAGCAGCCGCGGUAAUACGGAGGGUGCGAGCGU